rnacentral:rRNA from 1 species
CAGUAGCCGCGGUAAUACGGAGGAUCCAAGCGUUAUCCGGAAUCAUUGGGUUUAAAGGGUCCGUAGGCGGUUUAGUAAGUCAGUGGUGAAAGCCCAUCGCUCAACGGUGGAACGGCCAUUGAUACUGCUGAACUUGAAUUAUUAGGAAGUAACUAGAAUAUGUAGUGUAGCGGUGAAAUGCUUAGAGAUUACAUGGAAUACCAAUUGCGAGGGCAGGUUACUACUAAUUGAUUGACGCUGAUGGACGAAAGCGUGGGGAGCGAACAGGAUUAGAGACCCGCGUAGUCCCUGUCUCUUAUAC